CGGGUAGCCAGGGCCUUGGCGGAGCAUCCUGGGGCGCGCGCGGGGCGACCCCUCUGCAGGCCAGGAGGAAGUUUCUGACUCGUCUGGUCCAGCGGUGCCUCGGAGGCCUCUAGGAGGCCUGUCUUCCUGCCGACCCUCUUCUGGGAAACCCAUGAGGAACCCAAGAAGGUGACCAAGAAGCUUUCAAGGAAGGCGUUUUUUAUUUUUCAGGGACAAAGUGGGGGUCCCCUAGGCACCCCAGCUACUGAUUCUAGACAUUUAAUCAGAAUGCUCUGCCAGAGAGACCUGGAAUCUCUUUCUCUCCUGGUUACCUGGAGCCCGUAGGGAAACCAAUGUCUGUUCAAAAGAAGGCACAUGGUUAAAGUGCAAGCUUUGUCCUCUAAAUAGGAAGGGAUGAAAUCCAUCUUUUCACAA